GAACCUUACCUGGGCUCGAAAUGUAGUGGAAUCCGGCAGAAACGUCGGCGUCUAGCAAUAGACCGCUAUAUAGGUGCUGCAUGGCUGUCGUCAGCUCGUGUCGUGAGAUGUUGGGUUAAGUCCCGCAACGAGCGCAACCCUUAUCUUCAGUUGCUACCAUUUAGUUGAGCACUCUGACGAAACCGCCUCGGAUAACGGGGAGGAAGGUGGGGAUGACGUCAAGUCCUCAUGGCCUUUAUGUCCAGGGCUACACACGUGCUACAAUGGCCGGUACAAACCGCUGCAAACCCGCGAGGGGGAGCUAAUCGGAAAAAGCCGGCCUCAGUUCGGAUUGGAGUCUGCAACUCAACUCCAUGAAGCUGGAAUCGCUAGUAAUCGUGGAUCAGCAUGCCACGGUGAAUACGUUCCCGGGCCUUGUCACACCGA
rnacentral:rRNA from 1 species